GUGCUCACUUCAACAGCACAUAUACUAAAAUUGGAAUGAUACAGAGAAGAUUAGCAUGUGCAAGGAUGACAUGGAAAUUUGUGAAGCAUUCCAUAUAAAA
rnacentral:snRNA from 1 species